rnacentral:tRNA from 1 species
AGCAUUGAAGCUGGUCAAAGAAUGGGGGUACGAUAAACCACCAGAGGAUAUCAUAAACUGAGCGCUUUCCUUACAAGGAAGAAGUCACAGGUUCAAAUCCUGUAGCGCCCA